UGCAGUCGAGGGGUAACAGUAAGUGCUUGCACUUAGCUGACGACCGGCGAACGGGUGCGUAACGCGUAUGCAAUCUACCUUUAACAGGGGGAUAGCCCAGAGAAAUCUGGAUUAAUACCCCAUAAAAUUGCGAAGACACAUGUUUUUGCACUUAAAACUUCGGUGGUUAAAGAUGAGCAUGCGUCCUAUUAGCUAGUUGGUAAGGUAACGGCUUACCAAGGUGACGAUAGGUAGGGGGCCUGAGAGGGUGAUCCCCCACACUGGUACUGAGACACGGACCAGACUCCUACGGGAGGCAGCAGUGAGGAAUAUUGGUCAAUGGACGCAAGUCUGAACCAGCCACGCCGCGUGCAGGAUGACUGCCCUAUGGGUUGUAAACUGCUUUUAUAUGGGAAGAAACCUUUGGACGUGUCCAAAUCUGACGGUACCAUACGAAUAAGCACCGGCUAACUCCGUGCCAGCAGCCGCGGUAAUACGGAGGGUGCAAGCGUUAUCCGGAAUUAUUGGGUUUAAAGGGUGCGUAGGCGGAACUUUAAGUCAGUGGUGAAAUGCCGUAGCUUAACUACGGAACUGCCAUUGAUACUAUAGUUCUUGAGUAUGAUUGAAGUGGGCGGAAUGUGUCAAGUAGCGGUGAAAUGCUUAGAUAUGACACAGAACACCAAUUGCGAAGGCAGCUCACUAAGUCACAACUGACGCUGAGGCACGAAAGCGUGGGGAGCGAACAGGAUUAGAUACCCUGGUAGUCCACGCCGUAAACGAUGAUUACUCGAUACUGGCGAUAUACGGUCAGUGUCCAAGCGAAAGUGUUAAGUAAUCCACCUGGGAAGUACGUUCGCAAGAAUGAAACUCAAAGGAAUUGACGGGGGCCCGCACAAGCGGUGGAGCAUGUGGUUUAAUUCGAUGAUACGCGAGGAACCUUACCAAGGCUUAAAUGCAGGGCGACGGAAUGGGAAACUGUUCUUUCUUCGGACGGCCUGCAAGGUGCUGCAUGGUUGUCGUCAGCUCGUGCCGUGAGGUGUCGGGUUAAGUCCCAUAACGAGCGCAACCCCUAUCUUUAGUUGCCAUCGAGUAAUGUCGGGGACUCUAGAGAAACUGCCAGUGUAAACUGUGAGGAAGGUGGGGAUGACGUCAAAUCAUCACGGCCCUUACGUCUUGGGCCACACACGUGCUACAAUGGUAAAUACAGUGAGAAGCCACCUGGUGACAGGGAGCAGAUCUAUAAAGUUUAUCUCAGUUCGGAUUGAAGUCUGCAACUCGACUUCAUGAAGUUGGAAUCGCUAGUAAUCGGAUAUCAGCCAUGAUCCGGUGAAUACGUUCCCGGGCCUUGUACACACCGCCCGUCAAGCCAUGGAAGUUGGGAGUGCCUGAAGUCGGUAACCGCAAGG
rnacentral:rRNA from 1 species